CCUUCCCCUAGAGGUGUUGCUGGUGUGGCUGAUGUGUCAACAGAUGUACAUCAAUAGAUGGCACAGAGGAGAGAGGUUAUGUGUAUGCUCAGUGUUCUGACCUAUGAACAUCUGAAUGGUCAGUAGGCUAAUGUU